GGGGACGUAAAGGUUUCGACGGGGAUCCUGAAGCAUUGUAAGCGGGCGGAAGAGCGUGACUUCCAUAAAAAACGCAAACUCUAAAAUAAACGCUAACAAUAACAAAUUAGCAGCUGCCGCCUAAGCGCGGCCGCCGUCGUACCCGGGAGCACUGCGGCCCGGGAUACGGCGUCACUCAGCAGUGAACGUGAACGUCUUUAAGCUUUGCCGGACGUCAUGAUCUUAUGAAGCUACCCCGCCCGAAGGAUGACGCUUUCCGUCGGAACGGGGGAACUCAAAUAAGCGCCUGCGCCCGGAGAAAACGGUGUGGACGGGUUUUCGGACAGGGGUUCGAUUCCCCUCGCCUCCACCA
rnacentral:tmRNA from 1 species